rnacentral:rRNA from 1 species
GGGUUGUGAGGUUAAGCGACUAAGCGUACACGGUGGAUGCCCUGGCAGUCAGAGGCGAUGAAGGGCGUGCUAAUCUGCGAUAAGCGCCGGUAAGGUGAUAUGAACCGUUAUAACCGGCGAUACCCGAAUGGGGAAACCCAGUGUGACUCGUCACACUAUCAUUAACUGAAUCCAUAGGUUAAUGAGGCGAACCGGGGGAACUGAAACAUCUAAGUACCCCGAGGAAAAUAAAUCAACCGAGAUUCCCCCAGUAGCGGCGAGCGAACGGGGAGGAGCCCAGAGCCUGAAUCAGCAUGUGUGUUAGUGGAAGCGUCUGGAAAGGCGCGCGAUACAGGGUGACAGCCCCGUACACAAAAGCGCAUGUGCUGUGAGCUCGAUGAGUAGGGCGGGACACGUGGUAUCCUGUCUGAAUAUGGGGGGACCAUCCUCCAAGGCUAAAUACUCCUGACUGACCGAUAGUGAACCAGUACCGUGAGGGAAAGGCGAAAAGAACCCCGGCGAGGGGAGUGAAAAAGAACCUGAAACCGUGUACGUACAAGCAGUGGGAGCCCCACCACCAAAGCAUUCUCUGGUGUUGAAGGCCCUGCAAAGCAGCAUCGCGGUGGCGGAGCGUCGUUUGCGACGCCCAACACACAAAACAAGCGGUGAGUGCUUUGGGGUGGGGUGACUGCGUACCUUUUGUAUAAUGGGUCAGCGACUUAUAUUCUGUAGCAAGGUUAACCGAAUAGGGGAGCCGGAGGGAAACCGAGUCUUAAUUGGGCGUUAAGUUGCAGGGUAUAGACCCGAAACCCGGUGAUCUAGCCAUGGGCAGGUUGAAGGUUGGGUAACACUAACUGGAGGACCGAACCGACUAAUGUUGAAAAAUUAGCGGAUGACCUGUGGCUGGGGGUGAAAGGCCAAUCAAACCGGGAGAUAGCUGGUUCUCCCCGAAAGCUAUUUAGGUAGCGCCUCGUGAAUUCAUCUCCGGGGGUAGAGCACUGUUUCGGCUAGGGGGUCAUCCCGACUUACCAACCCGAUGCAAACUGCGAAUACCGGAGAAUGUUAUCACGGGAGACACACGGCGGGUGCUAACGUCCGUCGUGAAGAGGGAAACAACCCAGACCGCCAGCUAAGGUCCCAAAGUCAUGGUUAAGUGGGAAACGAUGUGGGAAGGCCCAGACAGCCAGGAUGUUGGCUUAGAAGCAGCCAUC